rnacentral:rRNA from 1 species
UAUUGGUCAAUGGAGGCAACUCUGAACCAGCCAUGCCGCGUGCAGGAUGACGGUCCUAUGGAUUGUAAACUGCUUUUGUACGGGAAGAAAUGUAAUUACGUGUAAUUAUUUGACGGUACCGUAAGAAUAAGGAUCGGCUAACUCCGUGCCAGCAGCCGCGGUAAUACGGAGGAUCCGAGCGUUAUCCGGAAUUAUUGGGUUUAAAGGGUUCGUAGGCGGUUUAGUAAGUCAGUGGUGAAAUCUUAUAGCUUAACUAUAAAAUUGCCGUUGAUACUGCUAGACUUGAAUAGUAUGGAAGUGAUUAGAAUAUGUAGUGUAGCGGUGAAAUGCUUAGAUAUUACAUGGAAUACCAAUUGCGAAGGCAGAUUACUACGUGCUUAUUGACGCGAGAACGAGU